rnacentral:rRNA from 1 species
AUGAACGCUGGCGGCGUGCCUAAUACAUGCAAGUCGAGCGAACAGACGAGGAGCUUGCUCCUCUGACGUUAGCGGCGGACGGGUGAGUAACACGUGGAUAACCUACCUAUAAGACUGGGAUAACUUCGGGAAACCGGAGCUAAUACCGGAUAAUAUAUUGAACCGCAUGGUUCAAUAGUGAAAGACGGUUUUGCUGUCACUUAUAGAUGGAUCCGCGCCGCAUUAGCUAGUUGGUAAGGUAACGGCCUACCAAGGCAACGAUGCGUAGCCGACCUGAGAGGGUGAUCGGCCACACUGGAACUGAGACACGGUCCAGACUCCUACGGGAGGCAGCAGUAGGGAAUCUUCCGCAAUGGGCGAAAGCCUGACGGAGCAACGCCGCGUGAGUGAUGAAGGUCUUCGGAUCGUAAAACUCUGUUAUUAGGGAAGAACAAAUGUGUAAGUAACUAUGCACGUCUUGACGGUACCUAAUCAGAAAGCCACGGCUAACUACGUG